CCUACGGGAGGCAGCAGUGGGGAAUUUUGGACAAUGGGCGCAAGCCUGAUCCAGCCAUUCCGCGUGAGUGAAGAAGGCCUUCGGGUUGUAAAGCUCUUUCGCAAGGGAAGAAACGAUUUAGGUGAAUAAUCUAAGUUAAUGACGGUACCUUGAUAAGAAGCACCGGCUAACUACGUGCCAGCAGCCGCGGUAAUACGUAGGGUGCGAGCGUUAAUCGGAAUUACUGGGCGUAAAGCGUGCGCAGGCUGUUUUGUAAGUCAGAUGUGAAAUCCCCGAGCUCAACUUGGGAACUGCGUUUGAAACUACAAGACUAGAAUAUGUCAGAGGGGGGUAGAAUUCCACGUGUAGCAGUGAAAUGCGUAGAGAUGUGGAGGAAUAUCAAUGGCGAAGGCAGCCCCCUGGGAUAAUAUUGACGCUCAUGCACGAAAGCGUGGGGAGCAAACAGGAUUAGAUACCCUGGUAGUCCACGCCCUAAACGAUGUCAACUAGUUGUUGGUAGAGUAAAAUCUAUGAGUAACGCAGCUAACGCGUGAAGUUGACCGCCUGGGGAGUACGAUCGCAAGNUUAAAACUUAAAUGAAUUGACGGNUGAGAGNGCGAGAGACGACGAGGGAGAGG
rnacentral:rRNA from 1 species